rnacentral:rRNA from 1 species
GAUGAACGCUGGCGGCGUGCCUAAUACAUGCAAGUCGAGCGAACAGACGAGAAGCUUGCUUCUCUGAUGUUAGCGGCGGGCGGGUGAGUAACACGUGGAGAACCUACCUAUAAGACUGGGAUAACUUCGGGAAACCGGUACUAAUACCGGAUAAUAUUUUGAACCGCAUGGUUCAAAAGUGAAAGACGGUCUUGCUGUCGCUGAUAGAUGGAUCAGGGCGGCAUUAGCUGGUAGGUGGGGUAACGGCUCACCCAGGCGACGACGCCUAGCAGACCUGAGCGGAUGACCAGCCACAGUGGAACUGAGACACGGUCCAGACUCCGACGGGAGGCAGCAGUGGGGAAUAUUGCACAAUGGGCGCAAGCCUGAUGCAGCCAUGCCGCGUGUAUGAAGAAGUCCUUCGGGUUGUAAAAUACUUUCAGCGGGGAGGAAGGGAGUAAAGUUAAUACCUUUGCUAAUUGACGUUCCCCACAGAAGAAGCACCGGCUAACUCCGUG